GAUGAACGCUGGCGGCGUGCCUAACACAUGCAAGUCGAACGGUUAAACCGCCCUCGGGCGGACAUAGAGUGGCGAACGGGUGAGUAACACGUGGCCAACCUGCCCCCCUCUCCGGGACAGCCGCGGGAAACCGCGAUUAAUACCGGAUGACGCCCGGGCCCCGCAUGGGGCCCGGGCCAAAGCCCAGGCGGAGGGGGAUGGGGCCGCGGCCCAUCAGGCAGACGGCGGGGUGACGGCCCACCGUGCUUUCGACGGGUAGCCGGGUUGAGAGACCGACCGGCCACAUUGGGACUGAGAUACGGCCCAGACUCCUACGGGAGGCAGCAGUGGGGAAUUUUGCGCAAUGGGGGCAACCCUGACGCAGCAACGCCGCGUGCGGGACGAAGGCCUUCGGGUCGUAAACCGCUUUCAGCAGGGAAGACAGCGACGGUAC
rnacentral:rRNA from 1 species